rnacentral:rRNA from 1 species
UGGGGAAUAUUGCACAAUGGGCGCAAGCCUGAUGCAGCCAUGCCGCGUGUAUGAAGAAGGCCUUCGGGUUGUAAAGUACUUUCAGCGGGGAGGAAGGGAGUAAAGUUAAUACCUUUGCUCAUUGACGUUACCCGCAGAAGAAGCACCGGCUAACUCCGUGCCAGCAGCCGCGGUAAUACGGAGGGUGCAAGCGUUAAUCGGAAUUACUGGGCGUAAAGCGCACGCAGGCGGUUGAUUGAGUCAGAUGUGAAAUCCCCGGGCUUAACCCGGGAAUUGCAUCUGAUACUGGUCAGCUAGAGUCUUGUAGAGGGGGGUAGAAUUCCAUGUGUAGCGGUGAAAUGCGUAGAGAUGUGGAGGAAUACCGGUGGCGAAGGCGGCCCCCUGGACAAAGACUGACGCUGAGGCUCGAAAGCGUGGGGAGCAAACAGG